UGUUGACAUACUGAAGACCUGAAGACCUAGGUUCACCACUGUACUAACCUGUCACACACUGAAGACCUAUAGGUUCACCACUGUACUAACCUGUUACAUACUGAAGACCUAUAGGUUCACCACUGUACUAACCUGUCACACACUGAAGACCUAUAGGUUCACCACUGUACUAACCUGUCACACACUGAAGGCCUAUAGGUUCACCACUGUACUAACCUGUCACACACUGAAGACCUAUAGGUUCACCACUGUACUAACCUGUCACACACUGAAUGCCUAUAGGUUCACCACUGUGCUAACCUGUCACACACUGAAGGCCUAUAGGUUCACCACUGUACUAACCUGUCACAUACUGAAGGCCUAUAGGUUCACCACUGUACUAACCUGUUACACACUGAAGACCUAUAGGUUCACCACUGUACUAACCUGUCACACACUGAAGACCUAUAGGUUCACCACUGUACUAACCUGUUACACACUGAAGACCUAUAGGUUCACCACUGAAGACCUAUAGGUUCACCACUGUACUAACCUGUCACACACUGAAGACCUAUAGGUUCACCACUGUACUAACCUGUCACAUACUGAAGACCUAUAGGUUCACCACUGCGUAACCAUGUCUAUAAUAGAUAACGGUUGUUAAGAUAAUGUUUCAAGAUGGGAGUGUAUAUGUUUGAGUGUUUUUACUCCACUGGUCUAGGGAAGAAAUUACGAGUCCUCACUGUCUGAGACUGAGUCACGACCAAGUACGAAUGUAGCUGACACCAAGACAAGACCCAUAUGUGGUCUCAAGACUGGACUGGUCUCGGUCUUGAGAACUACAACACUGGUAGAAGCUGAGCACAUUACAACAAUUAAUUGAGUAGACACUAAUAAGCAUGUAAGAACAAUGCAUGUCAAUAAGUAGCAUCCACUCUUGAAAGGAUUGGAUAGGUAUUAACAAAUGGUAAUGACUGCAUCUGCUAAGGGGAUCCUCCUUACAGAUCGGCCCUUACACAGUCUAGGGGAUUAGGAUGAUUGGGCUUUAAACAGGCCAUCUUGUUUAACUGGCCAAAUUCACAGGUGUUUCCUUAGCUUCCUCCACCACUGUGAUCUCCUCAACAAAUUUGGGCUGCAGGGCCU
ensembl:lncRNA